UACCCACAGCACAAGUGGUGGUCAUUAUUAUUGGGCCUAAAGCGUCCGUAGCUGGCCUGUUAGAUGCCUGGGUAAAUCGAUGCGCUUAACGUAUCGAAUUCCGGGUAGACCGGCAGGCUCGAGACCGGGAGAGGUGUAGGCUACUCGGGGGGUAGGGGUAAAAUCCUGUAAUCCUCCGGGGAGGACCAGUGGCGAAGGCGCUACACUAGAACGGCUCUGACAGUGAGGGACGAAGCCCUGGGGCGCAAACCGG
rnacentral:rRNA from 1 species